CACCACGACCAUUCUUCAGAAUGAGAUUCUCAAGAGGGAGAACUCAGCUUCGAGCUCAAACGACAGCAGCUCAGCUUUGGUGAUUUCUGGAGGAGUAGGUGGCAACAGACGGAGUGACAGAGGAUCGCAAGAAGGAUGAUCCUAGAUCUAAAACAAGGGAUCCUAGCAAGAUCAGAUGCUACCAAUGCGAUGAGUUAAGGCAUCAUGUCAGAGAUUGCCCUCAAC
rnacentral:lncRNA from 1 species